AACCGCUCUCCGAUGGAGCAGCGAAAUGGAGGGUUGGAAAAGCCAGGCAAAAGGUUUCGGAUAAAGAUCUCUGUCUGUUCAUAUCAAGUUGGAAAUGCUAGACUAAAGAAAAGCACAGUUAAGUCCUCUUUGGUCACUGCAUACCGCUUGCGUGCGCGGCACUUUGUCCAAAUCUGCAUCCCAUGCGAAGAACCUCUCCAACUGCAGAAAUCUUGAUGCCCAGGCAACAGCAGCUGCAGUCCUAAAUAAUUUGAACAGCUUUGUUUGCCAAACUGUCCACAUGCACACAGCACCACUCACUUUCCCUUUUCUGGCAAAAGACCAUAUCUGAGUAAACAUUAGUUACAUUUAUCUAUUGUGAAACAUAAAUAAACAAUUCCA